ensembl:lncRNA
CAUAAAGUACCACUAUUUUGUGACAUCAUAAAGUACCACCAUUUUGUGAUCAUAAAGUACCACCACUUUGUGACACACUUUUGUUUUAAAGAAUUAAUUAUUUAAUUCAGCUUUAUGUUCAUAACAAAAUUGAGAGGAUGGUACAGACACCUACUAUAUACCCCUUGAUCUUACACAUCUAUGGCCUCCAGAAUUAUUAGUGUAACCAGAGUGGCUUCUUUCACUUAAUAAAUCUGAGAAGUGAUAGGACUCCCCCAGGAGCCCAAGGUGACAGAGAGCCUGAGCUUGGAUUCACAAUGCUUUUUGUUAAUCAGACCCUGAAUAUCAGCCUCCAUCACAGCCAGCUAUCAGGAAUCCCUGGAGUGUCUUGGUACCUUUGCUCCUGGUAUGGAACUGCAGUAGCACAGGACUUCAUAAUAACUGGUAAUACUCGCAAUUUUUCUGCAAGAG